GAUGAAGAACGCAGCGAAAUGCGAUACUUGGUGUGAAUUGCAGAAUCCCGUGAACCAUCGAGUCUUUGAACGCAAGUUGCGCCUCAAGCCAUUAGGUUGAGGGCACGUCUGCCUGGGCGUCACAUAUCGUUGCCUGAUGCCAGUUUCCUCGUGAUGGGUGACUGUGCAGGGCGAAUGAUGGCUUCCCGUGAGCAUUGUUGCCUCAUGGUUGGUUGAAAAUUGAGUCCUUGGUAGGGAGCGCCGUGAUAGAUGGUGGUUGAGUGACGAACGAGACCCAAUCAUGUGAGACCCCUACCGAAUUUGGCCUUCAUGACCCACAUGCGUCUUUGGAACGCUCAUGACGAGACCUCAGGUCAGGCGGGGCUACCCGCUGAGUUUAAGCAUACCAAUAAGCGGAGGA
rnacentral:misc_RNA from 1 species